rnacentral:rRNA from 1 species
CAGUCGCCGCGGUAAUACGUAGGGUGCGAGCGUUAAUCGGAAUUACUGGGCGUAAAGCGUGCGCAGGCGGUUAUGUAAGACAGUUGUGAAAUCCCCGGGCUCAACCUGGGAACUGCAUCUGUGACUGCAUAGCUAGAGUACGGUAGAGGGGGAUGGAAUUCCGCGUGUAGCAGUGAAAUGCGUAGAGAUCUGAGGAAUACCGGUGGCGAAGGCGGCCCCCUGGACAAAGACUGACGCUCAGGUGCGAAAGCGUGGGGAGCAAACAGGAUUAGAUACCCCAGUAGUCCCUGUCUCUUAUACA